ensembl:lncRNA
UUGUACAGAUGUAAUACUCGCAAGCAAAAGAUUGUUUACAAACUUCCUGAAUAUUAUCAAUGCAGAACAGCUGUGGAGACACUUUAACCCGAAGAUCUAUACCAAACGUAGUCUGCUUACCAUGUAACAUGGUUGCAUCUUGAGCAGUGACCUGCCGAGGGCAAAGGACCCUGCUCCCUGGACUCACAGAUUUUCUAACGCUUGGGCAGGUGGUUACUGCAUGUUCCACAUCCGUCAAUGCAACUUAGGACAAAACCAACAGGAUACAAAAACCAGAGGCGAGGCUGCCGGGACCAGCAUAUUCCACUGCAGCCCAAUGGAUUUUAUUUAUUUUUUUCAUUUUGGUGAUUCUCAGAAGCAGAAAGCAUCACUUUAAAAAGUUUGUUCAUGCAAACUAUAUUUGCAUUCUUACAUUAGUUAAGCUAAGCAGCAAAAAGAAACACACACACACACACACACACACACACACACACUUCCAUCUAGCCCAUGUCAUUUAAUUGUCCAUUUCUUUGACAUAAACCGCAUCUUCUCCACAUGGGCGUCACGUGGUUUGGAGAUGGGUGGGGGAGAACAAUCAGGUUUCUUCAGGCUGAGGAGGACUUGCUCAGGCCGAUUCCAAACAUUGUGCUCGUUCAAUGCGUAGAAAUGAUUUGCAUGAUGGCAUGCCGUGAUCAGAAGUCAUGCAUGAGACCCAUACACCACAGGACACUACUAAUCCUGUCCCCUGCGCUGGGUCAGCCUUUGGACAGGACCCAGCCCGGCACCGUUCACUGUAUUUGGAGGAAAAAAAAAUGGCUGAGGAGGCCCCGUACUUCGGAGGGCGAGAGCAGCAAAAAUGUCCCAAGUCAACACAGCCUACUCCCACUUCUCUAAACGAACCACCUUUGGUGUCGGAAGUUGACUGGGGAGAAAUAAGCAGAAGCUCCCGCUCAAAGCCCCUGGAACGACAGCGCCCAGAGUUCUGUUCUUUUCCGCCGCGACCAAUGCCACCUGGCAGAGCCCCCGGAGAUGAUGUCAAGCCAACCCCGCCGGGCCGGCCUCACUUCUGCCUUUCUCACCAGUAUGCUAAGAAAAGAGCUAUCCUGAUGCCCCAAAGCUCGGGCGAGCACAAUGCCCAAUAGUCUCCACUCUGCUAGCUAAUGCUGGGCCCUGCCCUCCAUCACCCCGACACAUACACCAGCAGACUACGGCUGGUCUUGUUCACAUCCGUGCAGGAGAGAGGGGCACCGCUCCCCCUCCCUCCCCCUGCCCUGCUUUGGGGACAUCCCUCUCUAGGCCAUGUCUCCUGGUCCAGGAACACUCUCAGGAGGAUUUUGAAGUGCCCACUCUAGUCCGCUCCAGUAGCUCCACUCUGGAGAGAGUUGGCUGGUAGGUCAGUCCCCACCCUCCUCCCCUCGCCCCAGCCUCCAGGCCUGCUGUGGAGGUGAGAUUGCCAUGGGUUACGACUUUGUGACUUGAGUCCUGGGCAUCUUCUGUAAGGAUGCCUCUUUCUUUUCUCAGAUGUUGCCCAAAGUUUUGCAAAAAGCUUCCUUCAUUUUCAGGUACCCCCAUCCCCUAAAGAAUUGGCUGCAACUAGCCAGCCAGGGGGACAUCAGGAGAGAGGAGAAAGUCUGGGUCAGGAGGGGCCCAAGGUUUGCACAGGGUCUGUGUUGUGGCUCAGGUCUGUGCUUUCUUGGGUUCCUUUUCCAAGAUUUCCUCUGUUCAAAUGCUCCUGAGGCACCCCCUGCCGCUGCCCCCCACUGCUGUUUGCUGUACAUAGAGGCUAAGUGGGGUGGGGUGGGCGGGUGUGCACGUGUGGUGUGUGUGUGUGAAGAAUGUAUAUAGGUAAAGGGGAGCGUGGUCCAGUGGUUCCAGAAAAGGGAUAGAACUCCUGUGUUCCAUCCCCAGCUCAACCACUGGCUCGCUGUGUGGCCUUGGGCAAGUCACUUAACCUCUCUGUGCCUCAGUUUCCUCAUCUGUAAAAUGGGGAUAAUAAUACUGACCUACCUCACAGGGGUGUUGUGAGGCUUUAACUAAAUGUUUUGUAAAGUGUUUUGAGAUACAGAGGCAAAGGCACUAGGGAAGGGCAAAGUAUUAUUUGGACUUAAGGAAGAUGAAAUGGUACCAUAAAUGCUGCUAUUCUGAGAGCCAUUUUAAACUGCACUGCUCCAAUCACCCCCGCUUCUCAUCACCAGGACAGCAGGUCGAGAAAAUGUCUUUCCUUUCACUUGCUUCUGGGGUUUGUGAUUAUUCUAGACACUUAACUUUUUUUCCCUUGCUGUAUCUCCUUCCCUCACCACCUCGACUUGUUCCCUGUUCCGUUUACGCGGAAAUGGCAGAAAUGCUUGAGAAAUGAGAAUGCAUAAGUGGAUUGGAAGUUUAUAGUCUGAAAUUUCAAUUUUACUUUGUACUGUACAUCUUUUUACUUUAGAAUUUGCAAUAAAGGGUUACGUCAAUCUUGUUUUCAACUCUCCUCUUGGACUGGCCUGUCAUUCUGUCAUUGCUCUCACAGCAAAGCCCCUUGGCCUGGGGGGGGGGGGNNNNNNNNNNNNNNNNNNNNNNNNNNNNNNNNNNNNNNNNNNNNNNNNNNNNNNNNNNNNNNNNNNNNNNNNNNNNNNNNNNNNNNNNNNNNNNNNNNNNAUGCUUGAGAAAUGAGAAUGCAUAAGUGGAUUGGAAGUUUAUAGUCUGAAAUUUCAAUUUUACUUUGUACUGUACAUCUUUUUACUUUAGAAUUUGCAAUAAAGGGUUACGUCAAUCUUGUUUUCAACUCUCCUCUUGGACUGGCCUGUCAUUCUGUCAUUGCUCUCACAGCAAAGCCCCUUGGCCUGGGGGGGGGGGGGGCAGACCCUCCCACCCAGCAAGACCCCACAGCUGUCCUCUUUGCCCUCCCCUGUGGCAGGGGACAGAGUCUAAGGGGUCGCCCAGGGUUAACUCCUCAGAUGGGCUGGCAGGGCCCUAGUGGGUGAGAAAGCUUUGGGGCUCCAGAUAGACCUUCAGAAGUCCAAGUAGGAAGAGCAGCUUGGAGGCAGCAGCCCCUGAAAGUGGGGACACCUCUAGCGCGCGAGCGCGCGCGCACACACACACACACACACACACACACACACACCCUCCCCCCGCCGCUUGUUCUGGACCCCACCAUGUUUGUCAAGCUCCCUUACUGGUCACAGAUCCUUCCAGAGGAUUCAAACUUUCAGCUUAGGCAGCUCUGGGUUGAAAACCCUGAGUAUACCACUAGCUAGUUGUGGCCAGUUUCUUUAUGUGUAAUGGAGUUCAUAACUGUUUUUGUUGGGUUCUGAAGAUUUUAUCAAAUAAUGUAGUAACCUGCUCAGCACAGGGCCUGGCAUACAGUUCGAACUCAAUAAAUGGUAGCUGUCAGUGCAAGGAUUACUGCGGGAUA